rnacentral:lncRNA from 1 species
UUCGAUGAUCAUGUGGUGGGAAAGUUUGUUUUUGCAUAAUAUGUUAUCAUCUCCAAACUAAGCGGCCUAUUUGGAAUGCGAGAUGUCGAUCUUCGAGAUGGCGAAUAUAGAAUAGAGACCAAAGAAAACACCGACGCCAAAAUUCGAGGGCGCAGUGACACAUAAGGAAACAUUGUCGCCAAAAUUCGUGAAAUGGUAAGGGUGAAUCAAUAAAUGAAUGCAAGUUAGAGAUAGUGUUUCCUUAUAAUCCAUUCAAUCAUAGCCAUGGUCUAAUUUUGUUUCUUAAUGCAGCAUGAAUAGUUUGAUUUGAGGGGUUAAUGAAUAAUUCAAGUGUAAUGUAAUGAUGGAAAUAUCAUUAUUCACUAAAGUUCAUUCUUAAUAUGAUCGUAGAACCAAUAAAAAGUUCACACAUACAUACAUUGUUUUUAUGUGGCAAAAUAUUUUGUGUACUAUAUUCACGUUACAACUCAAGAAAAGCACUUUAGUGUGGUGUUGUUAUAGAUCG